rnacentral:rRNA from 1 species
UACAGGAGGGGCCAGCGUUAUUCGGAAUUAUUGGGCGUAAAGGGCGCGUAGGCGGCUUUGCGUGUCUUUCGUGAAAUCCCUCGGCUCAACUGAGGACGUGCGGAAGAAAACUGCAGGGCUGGAGUCCGGGAGAGGAGGGUGGAAUUCCCAGUGUAGCGGUGAAAUGCGUAGAUAUUGGGAGGAACACCGGUGGCGAAGGCGGCCCUCUGGACCGGUACUGACGCU